UACGUAGGCAGCAAGCGUUGUUCGGAAUUACUGGGCGUAAAGAGUGUGUAGGCGGUGCUCUAAGUCUGUCGUGAAAUCUCCCGGCUUAACUGGGUGGGUGCGGCGGAUACUAUUGUGCUAGAGGGUGGGAGAGGUAAGCGGAAUUCCUGGUGUAGCGGUGAAAUGCGUAGAUAUCAGGAGGAACACCUGCGGUGUAGACAGCUUACUGGACCACUUCUGACGCUGAGACACGAAAGCGUGGGUAGCAAACAGG
rnacentral:rRNA from 1 species